rnacentral:rRNA from 1 species
UACGAAGGGGGCUAGCGUUGCUCGGAAUGACUGGGCGUAAAGGGCGCGUAGGCGGUUUGGACAGUCAGGCGUGAAAGCCCCGGGCUUAACCUGGGAACUGCGUUUGAUACGGAUGGGCUAGAGUUCGGGAGAGGAGAGUGGAAUUCCCAGUGUAGAGGUGAAAUUCGUAGAUAUUGGGAAGAACACCGGUGGCGAAGGCGGCUCUCUGGACCGAGACUGACGCUGAGGCGCGAAAGCGUGGGGAGCAAACAGG